GUAAGCAAAACAUUUCUGCUGACUUUUGAGAAUUCUCUCUUCUUCCUCAACAUAGAAAGGGCUCAGAAAAUGCAAAAGGGAGGGGAAAGAGUUACGAGUAGCCUCCUCUCACUGCCACUGUGUCCUGGGGAGGAGAUGGACAUUUGAAUUGGACAAGAAACUGAAGUGGAUGGCACUGGAUUGCCUCUUUUCCACUCUUUUCCAGCCUAAAAAGUUCACAAAAUUGGCAUUUGCUGGAGAAGCCAUGAAGUCUUGGGAAAGGGAGAUUCGACAGAGCAUGUUACAGCCACAAUAGGAGAAAAAAACCUUCUCAGGUUUGAACCCUGCUGAGUUCACAGUUUUCAAUAAAUUGCUGACAAAUGCAAGGUGUUCAGACAAGUAGGUAGUGCUCCACAAAUAGUAGAUAUUAUUCUAGUCACCUAGAGAGAAUAAAUGUUCAGAAAAUGUCUACGUAUGUUUUGCUAUCAAAGAGCGAAUAAGAUAUUCAAUUUGUAUUUUUGCUUUAGAUAAAGCAUAAUGCCCUUAUUAUGCCUUCAAGUCUUCAUUUCCCCCACGAAGGGACGUUUUUCUGUGUUAUUUGACCAUAUGCCUUUUGCUACGCUGGGCAUUUGCCUUCUUUGACCUUUUCUGGACAUUCCCACUUUACCCGCCAGGGAUUGAGGAGAUUACAAAGGUCAUCUAAUCAUCUAGUCUCGUUUCCAAUUUGGUUAAGAUAAAAUAUUAUUUAAUUACUAGAAAAAUACUUUGUUAUUAAAAUCAAAGUGUCUUGUGCUGGUUUGCAAACAAAGUAAUUUCUACACGCUUAUAACACAAAGAGGAGACCAGAUGUGGUGAAGUAGAAGAGAGAGGACACUGGCUUUGGAGCCAGGGGACCCAGAGCGGCUCCCAGUAAUGUGAUAUUUUAUGUGUUUUCCAACCCCAUGCAGCAUCCAUUGCCUCACCUGUAAAAUAGGGGUUUUGACAAGGACCACAUCGAGUUAUUGUGAAGAGUAAAUAGAUGAUUAUAGAAAACAUGUCACACAGUGCUAGGCACAUAGAUGAAGCUUAAGGAAUAGCUGUUGUCCCGUUUCCAAGGUUGCAGAGUCAGAAGACACCCCUAAGAAGACAUAAAGUACUGUUGUUCAGAAGGAAGGCAUUGGGAAAGUCAAAAGGACACCAGAAAUAGUGAACUCAACAUUGAUUUGCACAUUUGACCAAGGUUGGUGGUCAUUUACGCAGCAGUAUUGAGAUGAUCCAUAGAAAGUCAUGAUAACACUAUUGGAGCAAAGUCACAAUAUUUGUAUUUUCAUAUGUAUCUCAUGAUGUAUAUAAGUACUCAUUUUAACACCCAUUGUUUAAAAACUGUUCAGAAUUCAGAAAAAUUAAAAAAUCAUUUAAACUAAAUAUUACAUUAUUGACUAUAACUUAAAUUUCAAAAUGUAAACAUUAACCAUCUAUUAUAAUUUGAAUUAGCAGGAUAAAAAGCAAUACAAAAGUAUAUAAAAUAAAGUAAACAUUGCACAAAAUGAAGAAAAUGAAUCCUGAAAAUUGAAAAUGAAUUAAAUUGGAUUUUCUGGCAAAUAUGAUCUUAAGAACAACGUGUAUCAAUGGUGUUAUCUUCGAUGGUGAGCCUCAUUUUGGGGCAUAUUCUUCUAGCCACUGGAAACACUUUCCAUAAUUUAAAAUAGACAGAAAAAUAGUGACGAGACAAAAAGCAACUAAGUCCAAAUAUCUUCCUCUGGAACUUUUAUUUACAAAUGAUUCCAUCUUUUUGUGAGAGUAUAAAGAUGAUCUUUUAGAAAUUUUUAUUUUUAUUGUAUUAAAGACUACGAUGUCUUUAUUGACAGCUGUAGUUUUUGUUAUUAAGGCCCAGAAGUCAGCUUACUGGAUGCCUGGUUCUUAGCUUUUGCUGUGAAAUAGCCUUUUUUGAAACAAAACAAAUCCAUCAGACAGGCAAGAGCUUCUACCACCAAACACUGACUGUUUUAGCUAUCAAUCUUACCCCAUUGGAGGCAGCCUUAUAUUGAGAGUAAGACGGACUCCUUUUUCCUUAUAAUUGUCUUUUAAGGAGGUCCUAUUUCAUUAAAUAUUCAGGGAAAAUUGUUUUUUGUUUGUUUGUUUGUUUGUUUUUUAAAAACCUUCUUUCAGGAAGUAGAACUAGGGUGAAUUUAAUCUGGGAAAAUUUGGGCUACUGUCCCAGUCAUCUUUGCUUUCUAGCUCAGAGGCCUUGAGAGAUCGUAAGGUCUCUCUUUUAAUGCUGGGUUUAACUCUCUGGUAAUUCUCAAAGUAUAAAUAAUUCAUGUCUCAGGUUUUAAAAAUGUUAAAAUAAUGAUAUCACACUAACAAAAUAUUGGCGUUUGGGUACAUAAGAGUCUGUAGUAUGAUCUACUAGAGUUCUAGAAUGUUGAACAUUGAUGGUGCAAUUAUUAAUUAAAAUUAUCUUGCUCAGAAGGUUUUCCUCCAUUAAACUACACUUUUUAGAGUAAGCUCACUUUGGUUUAAGGCACCUGUUCAUAGGAUGUCCUUAAAUAUAUGAAUAUUGCCCUGGGAGUUACCCUUUUAGUCAUUAAUAACUGGGCAUAAAUCACUUAUCUGCCAGGUAAUCAAGAACAGGACCCAGAACAAGUGUUUUUCUUUCUUUCUUUCUUUCUUUUUUUCUUAGGCUGGAGCAGUGGAAAGAGAACUAUGCACAAGGAUGAGGAGAAUAAUUGUGAUUGUGGGACAGGGCCCCAGGAGAGAGGUAUAGCAGACUGGCCUUGGAAAGCCUGCAGCUGCAUCAGGAAGGCAAAGCAUGCUUGGAAAAAAUGCUGACUGAAGUAAGGCAGAACCUAGAGGGUGGGUGGAUACUCCAUAACUGUAUUCAAAUUGGGCACUCUCUUGUUGUAAAGCCUUUGCGUAAGUGCAACUGAGAAAAUAUAUGGUAGAAAAAAAAGGCUAUGUUCUGACCAGCUCGAGGAUGGGGGAAUAUCAUGCAUAAUAUGUGCAAACUAUGUGAAGAAAAGUACAAGUUAAUAUGAUCACAAAAAUAUUCAGAAAAACACAGAGUGAAGGAGGUAAGACAAGAGGUAAUGAAAUAAUUAGUGAAGUAUGGGCUCCUGUGCAAGGGAAUAUCUUGAGACAGAUUUUUGAAGAGAAGUUAGAUGUGGGCUGAUGAAGAGGAACUGUCACUCCACAUUGAGGGAGUGGUCUCUGCAAAGGUGGUAGCUUAGCUUGGGUUCCUAAGAAAAGAGUCUGAGGUUAAUCUUAUGAGCACAUGCUUUAUUGUAGAGUACAAGUCCAGAGAAGCAAGUGUGACAAAAAAGGAAGGAUAGGAAACAAAAAGUCAUGUUAUUGAGCUCUGGUUAUAGGAAAUUUAAAUGGUUACUCAGUUACACUGAACAUCUCCAGAGAGAUUCAUGAAUUCACGGCACCUUAGAAAAAUUCUUUGGUGGAAAGAAGGGCAAACAAUCUAUCUACUGGCUUCUUUCCAUCUCCUGUUUCUCAUGCUUACUUGACCUAACAAAGUGUUAACUUGCACAUCUUCCCUCCAGACAGCUGCUGGGUUAGUAACUAACUCCAACUUAGUUACUGGAGCUGCUGCUGUUUCUGCUGUGAUGAGAGGUAUGGAGGCCAUGUCAAAGCCUGGCUUUUUCUCCCCAGGAUUUGCAGGGAAGGCUGCAAAAACCAGGGUGAGAGAUGCUGAGUCUUCUGAGUUUUAUGACCAUUGGAAUGGCAUGAGUCAAUCAACCAUUGCUGAGCUCCUCUGAUCAGGACUCUGGGCAAGCAACAGUCUGGGGCUGAGGGUAGAUGAGGCCCAGGAGGAUCUGAGGAAAUGUCCAAGAUAGGUCUGGAAGAGUGAGGAAAAUGGAUGAUGAAAACUUAGCAUGUCUAGAAGGAGUGAGGUCUCAACAAAUGUGUAACUUAGUGUAUGUAGUAUUGGAGUGACGUUCUAGGAAUGGCCAAAAGCUAGGAUUCCAUAGGCUGAUUUGAAUGAAUUUGAGAUGUGUGCCCAUUUUGUUGUGCUUAUUAUGGCUGAUCCUGUAGUUUUAGCAAUUCAGUGAUCAUCUCAACUUUCUUCCUAAACAGCUGAGCCUGGAAAGCUAAAACUAACACUUUUCAGACUUCAAUGAAAUUACUGUUCUGAAUAUGAUUCAGGUUCUACCAAAGAGAUGUAUUCAUGAGAACUGAAUUUAGAACUGAAGGAAGUGGGGAGAGAAGCAUGAGCUGUGAUGGUAGUAGCUGCUGGGUAAGUGGCCAGCAGCCACUAUGGUACUUCCUAUCAUGGCAGAGACAACUGGUCUCAGAGGUGCCCAGUUGUGUCUUGUGGCUUUGGACAUUUCUCCUGGAUGCUCAACCUAGAGACUGUUUAUCUCUCAAGUGAUUUGUAAACCUUUUAAUGCUCUGUGAAAAAAAAAUUUAAUCCCUUUUGCCUAAACCAGCUAGAGUGGAUUCUAUUCUGAGGAAAUGACCAUAUUUUAAAGGUUUGCUGGAGAAGUCUGGAUGGGGGGUGGAGAGAAAGAAAUAUAAAAAUAGAGAUAGAAAUAGCUAAAUGGAGGGUAGAGAUAUUAAUUCCGGCUCUUAGAUGGUGGGCAACUCACUACCCACAAUUAUUAAAUCUGAUUUUUCCUCUCAGCACACAUUCAUAUAGAUACCAUGUAUGAAGAAUACAGGAGAACCCUGAAGGUAUCCAAAUGAAAUUGACUUCCCAGUCAUCAUUAAACAUUUAAAGAACUUCAACAAAACAUGCUCCAUGUUAAGGACUUUAGCACCUAAAAAUAAGGAAAGAUGCAGCUUUUGAUUUUAAACAUUUAUUGUUUUCAAGGGAAAGCCUUCUGUAUCCCUGCACACUUUAAGCAGGUAAAUGUUAGAUUGCUGCAUCAGCUCCUGGACUCUGCAUAACUUCUGAUGUCCUUCUGGUAAACCUUGAUCCCUUAUUGCAUCAUGUGACCUCCUCUCCCCCAGCUCUAGCUCUGCCUAGCCGCAGUCCCUGGAAAGUAAUACAGUGGAGGAGGACCCCCAUGAUUACAUUCUGCGAGAGGAGUUCCUAAGCAUUGCAGCAUGAAAAACAGUGCUUAAAAGCUUAAGCAAUAUUUUUCAAAAUAUUGACCUAUCUCAGUAGGAACUGAGAUAGGCAACAAAUCUGACUGACAGAAUACAUUUCAAACUUUCAAAAUUGUGUCUUCCUCUUACUGUGGGUCCUUACCCCUGAACAAAGUUCAUCACACCUGGCUUCACGUUGCAGGGUAUAUUUUUUUGAUGCCUGCCUUAUCUGGCUUCCAGUCAUGCCCUGGAAUUUGAGUGUCUCUCAAAUGUAAAAAUCAAAAAGUAUAUUGUAAAAAUGUCUAUACUAUGCAAAGUAAUAUACAGAUUCAAUGCAAUUUCUAUCAAGAUUCCAAUGACAUUUUUCACAGAAAUAGAAAAAAAUCUAAAAUUUAUAUGAAAACAUCAAAGACAUCAAAUAGCCAAAACAAUCUUGAACAAAAAGAACAAAGCUGGAAGCAUUACACUAUUUGAUUUCAAAAUGUACUGCAAAGCUAUAGCAAUCAAAACAACAUGGUACUGGCACAAAAACAGAAAUAUGGACCAAUGAAAUUGAACAGAGAGCCCAGAAAUAAAUUCACCCAUUUACAGUUAACUGAUCUUCAACAAAAGUGCCAAGAUCAUACAACUGAGAAAGGACAGUCUCUUCAAUAAAUGGUGCUGGAAAAACUUGAUAUCCACAUGCAGAAGAAUGAAAUUGGACCCUUAUUUCAUCCCAUAUACAAAAAUCAACAUAAAAUGGAUUAAAGACUUAAAUGUAAGACCAGAAACUAUAAAACUAUUAGAAGAAAACCUAGAGACAUUGACAUUGGUCUUGGCAAAGAUUUUUUGGAUAUGACCCCAAAAGCACAGGCAGCAAAAGCAAAACUAGACAAAUGGAAUUACAUCAAACCAAAAAAAUAGCUUCACAGCAAAAGAAGCAAUCAACAGAGUGAAGAGAAAACCUAUGCAAUGGGAGAAAAUAUAUGUAAAUCAUACAUGAAAUAAGGAACUAAUAUCCAAAAUAUAUAAGAAAUUCAAACAUCUGAACAGCAAAAAAAAAAAAAAAAAGAAAAUUUAAAAAUGGGCAAAAGAUCUGAACAGACAUUUCUGCAAACAGAAUGUAUGAAAGGCCAACAGGUAUAUGAAGAGAUGCUCAACAUCACUAAUCAUUGGAGAAAUGCAAAUUAAAACCACAAUUAGAUAUCUAUCAUCUCACCUCUCUAAGAUAAGCAUUUGCAAAAAUGUGGAGAAAAGAGGACCCUUGCACGCAGUUGGUGGAAAUGUACAUUAGUAUAGCCUCAUGGAAAAUAGUAUGGAGGUUCCUCAAAAAAUUAAAAAUAGGACUACCAUAUGAUCCAGCAAUCUCACUUCUGAAUAUGUAUCCAAAGGAAAUGAAAUCAGUAUGGUAAAAAGAUAUCUGCAUUCCCAUAUUCAUUGCAACAUUACUUGCAAUAGCCAAGAUAGGGAAUCAACUGAUGAAUGAAUAAAGAAAAUGUGGUAUACAUAAUAUAAUGGAAUACCAUUUUGCCUUAAAAAGGAGGAAAUCGGGUCAUCUGCAACAAGCUAAGUGAAAAAAACCAGGCACAGAAGGACAAAUACUGUAUGAUCUCACUUACAUGUGGAAUUUAAAAAAGUUUAACUCAUAGAAGCAAAGGGUAGAAUAGUGGUUGCCAGGGACUGGGGCUAGGGGUGGGAGCAGGGAAUGGGGAGUUAUGGUCAAAGACUACAAAGUUUCAAAUAGACAGGAGGAAUAAGAUCUGGUGAACUAUAGUACAGCAUGUGACUAUAGUUAAUAAUAUUGUAUUGUACACUUGAAAGUUGCUAAGAGAGUAGAUUUAAAUGUUCUCAUCACCAAAAAUGAUAAAUAUAUGCAGAAGUGACAGAUAUAUUAAUUUGAUUUAAUUGUUCCACUGUGUAUACAUAUAUCAAAACAUCAUGUUAUACACCAUACAUAUAUACAAUUUUUCACCUUGCCAAUUAGAAAUAAAAAUUAUUCAUAUAAAAUAAAAAUAAAAAUAAAAAAUAAAAUUCAAAUUCAUAACCCAAAUUUCCCUAGACCUCUGCUUCCUCUGCAUAUAACAUGUUUGAGUCUCGCCUAAACUCAAAUUGGACCUCCACAGUCUUAGCAAAACUCUUUUAGAAAGUGCAAUAAUAUUUCUUAAUAAUCUGUCCCAGGUUAUCACUUUCCAUAAGAAUAUCCUUUUUUGAGUUCUCCUUGAAACCAUAGUUCAAAACAAAUGUGUUUGUUCUUGCAUUAUUUUUGGUAGAGAGAAGAACUAUGUGAUAAGAUAAACCUUAAGAUAAAUCCAUGUCUAUUGGGGAUAAAAGUUUUCAGUUAUUCUGCUCUUCACAAACUAACCCUAGUUCCUCUAAUCUUAAAGGUUUUAGCUUUCAACUUUUAGUUAUUUGAAUUUUGGGGGAAAGAUCUCACAUCAAUUUCUCCAUGUUAAGAUUUAAAUAACCAAACUGGAAGUUAAGUUUUUUUUUCUUUUUUGACAGAGUCUAGCUCUGUCGCCCAGGCUGGAGUGCAGUGGUGCGAUCUGGGCUCACUGCCAGCUCCGCCUCCCGGGUUCACGCCAUUCUCCUGCCUCAGCCUCCCCAGUAGCUGGGACUACAGGCGCCCACCACCACGUCCGGCUAAUUUUUUGUAUUUUUAGUAGAGACGGGGUUUCACCGUGUUAGCCAGGAUGGUCUCGAUCUCCCGACCUCAUAAUCCGCCUGCCUCGGCCUCCCAAAGUGCUGGGAUUACAAGCGUGAGCCACCGCGCCGUGCCUGGAAAUGAAUUUUUUACACACCAAGUGAAAAUAAGUGGUAUACAUUUUCACAGGAAAUUUUCCCACAAUAAAAUUUCUAGAUGGAAGUUCAAGUCCUUGUGCCUGAGCUCCUUAGAUUAAAAAGCAUAGCAGUUAUUUAACACUCUUUUAAAAAAGAAAGUAUGAAGACAUGGUGAAACUAUUUUGCUUAUCACAUUGACAUUCCUUUGAGAAGAAAGAAAGAAAAUGACAUGUGGUUGGGAAUUCUUCAGUUUAGCCCUAUAGAGAUUUUUAAAAAUGUUUUAACUUUCAAAGGCGCUUUUAUAGAGCUAUAAAAUUGCCUGUCUCCUCUCCAGGCUAUGCUGUACACAAAUGCAAUUCUAAUUUUUAUCGAAUGCUACUUUGAUCAUUCAGCUGCUUGAUCAAAAUCAAUAAUGACUUAUGGUGUUUCAGAUCAUGUCUAUACUUUUCAAGACCCUUAAUAAUCUGCCUCCAUCCUACCUAUCCUACAUUCUAUUUCACAUUUCCCUAUAAUAAUCUUUGUUAUUACCUUACUGCCUUUCUCUGUCCCUGUCAACUGCAACACAUAAGGGUUUGUAUAUAAAACAUGCACACACACACACACACAUACACACACACACACACAUUUCAUGCAUAUUCUGGCCUUGGGACUUUUACUUAUGCGUUUUUCCUUUUCUGAUGUCUACGUAUGUAUAGUUUUUCUCUUAGCAACAUCUAAACUUCUUUAAAAGUCACCACAAAUUCUACUUUCUUCCAAGAAGCUCCCCGAUGACCGUAACCUACAUUAUCCAUCCACUUUUUUUUUUUUUUUUUUGGUAGGGUCUUGCUCUGUUUCCCAGGCUAGAGUGCAGUGGUAUGAUCACAGCUCACUGCAGCCUUGGCCUCCUGGGCUCAAGCAAUCCUCCCACUUCAGCCUCCCAAGUAGCUGGAACCACAGGCUCAUGCCAACAUGCCCAGCUAAUUUUUAUUUAUUUAUUUUUUCAUUUAUUUUGUAGAGAUAAGAUCUUGCUGUGUUGCCCAGGCUGGUCUCAAGACUCCUGGCUCAAAUGAUCCUCCCACUUCGGCCUCCCAAAGUGCUGGGAUUAAAGGCAUGAGCCACCACUCCUAGGCCACUUUCUUAUUCCUGUUACUUAUUUAGGGUGACACUGUCCAAGACUUGCCUAAAUACCAUUUUAUAGUGUUUCUUUUUUAAUGAACAUAUAAACUGUGUUGUGAUCUUUUGUUUGUUUGUUUGUUUGUUUUUAUUAUUAUUAUUAUACUUUAAGUUUUAGGGUACAUGUGCACAAUGUGCAGGUUAGUUACAUAUGUAUACAUGUGCCAUGCUGGUGUGCUGCACCCAUUAACUCGUCAUUUAGCAUUAGGUAUAUCUCCUAAUGCUAACUCUCCCCCCUCCCCCCACCCCACAACAGGCCCCAGAGUGUGAUGUUCCCCUUCCUGUGUCCAUGUGUUCUCAUUGUUCAGUUCCCAUCUAUGAGUGAGAACAUGCGGUGUUUGGUUUUUUGUCCUUGCAAUAGUUUACUGAGAAUGAUGAUUUCCAGUUUCAUUCAUG
rnacentral:lncRNA from 10 species